rnacentral:rRNA from 1 species
AGUGAACGCUGGCGGUAGGCCUAACACAUGCAAGUCGAACGGCAGCGCAGUAAGAGCUUGCUCUUACGGGUGGCGAGUGGCGGACGGGUGAGGAAUACAUCGGAAUCUACUUUUUCGUGGGGGAUAACGUAGGGAAACUUACGCUAAUACCGCAUACGACCUACGGGUGAAAGCAGGGGAUCUUCGGACCUUGCGCGAUUGAAUGAGCCGAUGUCGGAUUAGCUAGUUGGCGGGGUAAAGGCCCACCAAGGCGACGAUCCGUAGCUGGUCUGAGAGGAUGAUAGGCCAAACUGGAACUGGAACACGGUCCAGACUCCUACGGGAGGCAGCAGUGGGGAAUAUUGGACAAUGGGCGCAAGCCUGAUCCAGCCAUACCGCGUGGGUGAAGAAGGCCUUCGGGUUGUAAAGCCCUUUUGUUGGGAAAGAAAAGCAGCAGGUUAAUACCCCGCUGUUCUGACGGUACCCAAAGAAUAAGCACCGGCUAACUUCGUG